AUGCUUUCGUCAAGAUUGCUGCGUAUUGCGAACAACCAGCCCGAGUCCUGGAGAUGGAUUUCCCUCCCAGGCUCAAGAUCUGCCGAAUGUGCGGAGCUCCUAAGUGUGUACUUCCUCGCGGUCACUGGAGAGGUCAAACCAAGGGACCUGUCUGCAGGGAAAAGCUACUCGGUUUACCUAGUGUACAAGCUGGCGACCAACACAUCUGGUAUAAAAGGUUAUGUGCAGUCGUCGUCGCUCAGGCUCUACGGGGAGCACAUCGUCGCCACCAACAAGGUUAGUCUCGACCCUGAAACGCACAUGUCGGUCAAUGAUGUUAUCUACCCUAUCACGAGGGGCGAUGGCUGGUUGGAGCUUAAGUUGGCGGACUUCGCAAACGAUGACGAGAUGCUACAAGAGAAGGGGGUGAUCGUGGAUCUCCGUGAUGAGGACGUCACCGUUGAGAAGAGAGGACUCAUCGUGGAGGGUAUGGAGUUCAGGAGCAACUAG
rnacentral:rRNA from 1 species